UACAGAGGUCUCAAGCGUUGUUCGGAUUCAUUGGGCGUAAAGGGUGCGUAGGCGGCGCGGUAAGUCGGGUGUGAAAUCUCGGAGCUUAACUCCGAAACUGCAUUCGAUACUGCCGUGCUUUGAGGACUGGAGAGGAGACUGGAAUUUACGGUGUAGCAGUGAAAUGCGUAGAUAUCGUAAGGGAAGGCCGGUGGCGAAAAGCGAGCCUCUGGACAGUUACUGACGCUGAUGCACGAAGGCCAGGGGAGCAAA
rnacentral:rRNA from 1 species